AAACAAUCGAAAGGAGGUGGACCAGUGUCUAGAGUUAUUAUGGUGAAUGAGGUCAAGACAGUCGGGAGGGCCGCCGCUUAGAGGCAACCCUGUAAGCGAAACACUCUCGAUUGGGCAACCUAACUGGCCCAUUUCCUUAAAUUCUCGAAGGGUUGUCUUAUCUAGGCAGCCCU
rnacentral:sRNA from 1 species